GGGGCACCCCGGCGGGACGGGGGCUUCGUGGGGGCGGGGCGAGGAGUUCCCGCCCUAUCCCCGCCUCUCCUGGGCGGGUGGAGCGGUGACGUUACCCAGCGCCAUCUUGGUCCGGUUGGGACGUUCGUCUCUCAGGCGCGAGUUAUCUGCCGCUCCGCCGUCGCUCCGUGUUCCCUCCCCCGCUGUAAAAAUCGGGAUUUAACAGCCGCUUGAGGGCACGGGCUGGGCGCCUCGCACCCACCUGGCGUCUGAAUCCAGUCAUUGCCCAAGUGGAGAAAGACCAUUUCCGUGGCUGGGGACCUGCUAACGGGCCUUGUCCUGGGCUCUUUGCAGCCAGAGCACCCAGCCCUGAGACCGUUUCGGGAGCACCUUUCCCCCUCCGUCCCUCCAGCCAGCAGGGCAUCGCCGGCUCUCUGCUGACCUGUGUGAGUGUUCACCCCAAUGUCCUCCCGGGCAGCGGCACCUGUGGCUGGAGUUGGCUCAAAAGAUGCUCAGACUCUCUAAAUGUCACCGUCAAGAGGCAGAGAUGAGGCCGGGGGCCGUGGGGCUGAGGGGGACACCUCGUGUUUUGGCCACGCUGGGGACCAACAGACUGUGACCCAGGGACAGAGGGACUUGCUGGAGCCGGAUCACCUCCAGCCGGGCUGUGUGGGUAAUGCGAGCAGGCUUGGCCACGAGCGGCCAGCAAACUGAGGCUGGAAGACCCGGAGACACAAACAGUGGAGCAGCUUUACUCGCAGAUGUCGCCGUCUAAGCAGAUAUCCGGCGCUUGUCCUUGUCAACGCGGCGAGGGCUUAUCUAAUGGAAAGACCUUUAAUCAGGUGUGUUUGGUAACGGAGCGCUGCACGAGGGGGACAUGCAGAUCAUCACCCCGAGGCUCGGUUUGCCUGCACGCACAUUUAAAACUGCUGUAAACGUGGUCUCUCUGGGACCCCCUUGCUAGAUGUGUGUUAAAGCACUCGGAAAAUUCAACAGCAAAUCGACAAUGACGUUCCCGAGCUCACAGAGAUGCACGAAAGGGAUUUCAUGUGAUUGAAGCGAGGAGCACAGCUCUGCUCCUGUUUAGCAAAAAACAGCUUUUUUUGCUGCCUGGCAAUGAAGUGGACUCUGAGAAGGGUGUUUCCUACGAGGGUCCUCCCUGUCGUGCAAACAUAGACCGACUGGCCCUGGGUUCUGGCUGAAGACAUCCCUGCCGCAUCCUGCCUCUUCUAAAACUAGCCCAUGGAUGCGCUUUUUCACCAAAUCCUACCUUUCUGCCCUCAAAAGCAAACCUGCAUCGGCUUCGGUGGGGCAGAGGUCCAGGUCUGCUGUUUAGGUUGGCAGGAGCGAUGUGCUGGGGGCUGGUGGGGGAAGGAAACGCUCCCGUCCUCCAAAAAUGUUUUAAAGUGCUUUACUGAUUCUGCAGCUGGCGGGUACAGACCCACUCUUUUUAAUUCUGAGUUCUGUUGCAUUACAAAUAAUAGUUAUAGAGCUUGUUUGCUGGUAAAUGGUGAUGUUGAGGUUUUUCCCCAGCCUGGCUGCUUUGGGGUCCGGCCCCUCCAAAAACGCCGGCAGGUCCCACUUGGUGUGGGCUGCGGGCUCUGUCCACACUCAGAAUCUGGGGAUUUCAGGUGGAAAAGAGAUUAAAAGUUGGGAGAACCAAAGGCCCAGCUCACUUUGUGUCUCUGGGAAUGGUCGGUAGAGGAUAUAUUGGGAAAUGUAUAGAAAGCAGACUGUUCCACUGGUGAUUUGACACCUUGAGCAUCCUGCGGUGCAGGGACGGGACCUUCUCCCUCCGGGGCUGCACUUGCACUGCUCUGCUGAGCAACCCCUCUCCUCCAUGAAUUAAGCCCGUUUUGAAACCCACAAUUUAUUAAUUUUGGGGAAUUAAUGAGCAACCUCCUGUGAUUGUACAAACUUCUAUCACCACCUUGUCAUCAUGUCCCCAGGUGAUGCCCCAUCUUUGACAUCUCUCUGUCCCCAGCUUUUCCCCGUCCCUUCGUCCCCCUGCCUCCAUCCUUUGACACGGAGCCGAACCGGGUCCCCGCAGCCCACGGAGAGACGAGGAGUCCGGCACGGACCCAGGAAAACCGCUUGCCCAGCAAACAGCAGCCCAGGCUGAGCAAGGCUUGACUUUAACCCUUCUCCAGGGUUUAAGUGCUUAAAUCCAUGGUGACAAGAGCUUCGUGGGAUUCACAGCCCAGCAAUCACCAUGAUUGUGGAGACUGUAAUUCUGUAAAUGUUCAAAGAAUUCUUCAGCUCAUCCCCCACGUACAGAGAUGAAAACACCUGAUUCCGGGUGGAUUUGCACCAAACUGUGAAUACUCUGCACACCGAGGACAAGUUGCUGGCAGUGAGUGCCAUCACACCACCCCGUCACCCCGCUCCAUCCGCCGUCUGCAAGGUGCAAAAUAUGCCUUUACGUGACACCGCUAUUUCUUAAACAUCUAAAAGAACAGGGUGGGGAGUGCAGAGCUCAAAUCUCGGCGCAGCAUCGAAGGGGUUAUAGUGAUAAGCCAGCAGCUCCGCGUGGAACAAAGCUGGCAUUUCAGGGGGGAGACAAUGGAUUGUGUUCUCUGUGUUCAUUUCAGCCGUCCAUUUGGCACCGAGGCUGAGGUCACCCACCCAGUCGCACACUGCAGCAUCUCUGUUCUGGCGAGCAAGGAGCAGCAAAACAAAGAGGAGCUGAGUCGGCAGGAACGGGACAGCGAUCGCGGAUGGAGAAGCGCUCCCUGCUCCCAGAGCCCGCCGUGGCGGUACAUGUCAGGACACUGCUUAAAACCCAGCGAAUAGGCACUUUCUCUGACACACAUCUGAGCGCUUUGCACGGCCACCGGUCACGCUCAAUUCCCGUUCCACGUCCCGAACGGUAAUUACUGGCGUGGCCUGGUUUUGUGGCUGAAUGAUACGAUUUGCAAUGCAGGGAUUCGAACCCCAGCCAAAAGACGGAGCGACUGCUCACCAUCUGUAAAUAUUUUCUCUAGCAACAGCUUCAUUUCCUUUGAAACAUUAAAAAGGUUGUAGUUCUGACAUGCACGCGCGUGCAGGCACGUGGCUUAAAAAAUACACAGCAGGCACACACACACGUCUUGGUUUAGCCUGAGUUUUGUGCCAUGCAAAGAAGAGGCUCAAUUUGUCACCCUGUCCUGUUUGCUGGGAAAUGUGCUUUAAUUAUGUUACUAACAACUAAGAAACCUGCGUUCUCUGUCCCGCGGCUUUGUCCCCAGGCGGGUGGCCCUGCCGCCUGCUCCGCCGUGUCAGCCGCAAGUGCACACGGUCAGGACGAGGUGCAAUCCUGCUGGCUGGGCAACUGCUUCAGUGUUUCUGCCUUGCUUUGUUCUGAAAUAAGUCAGGUGUGAGCCCGUGUGGGGCUCCUCCAGCCCCAUCCUUUUGGGAGCUCACCGGUGCUUGGUGCGGGCUGGGUCCUGACAUAGGGGACCCUCUGGAGAGGGGCCAGGGGAGCCAUGAAAAGUAUCUGAGGCUGGAACAGCUCUGCUACGGGACAGGCUGAGGGAGCUGGGCUGUUCAGCUGGAGAAGAGAAGCUCCGGGGAGACCUGAUUGUGGCCUUUCUGUGCUUAAAAGGGGAUGAUAAGAAAGAUGGGGACAGACUUUCCAGCAGGGCCUGUUGUGACAGGACAAAGGGUGAUGGUUUAAACUAAAGGAGGGAGAUUCAGGCUGGACAUGGGGAAGAAAUUGUUGGCCCUGAGGGUGGUGAGAGCCUGGCCCAGGUUGCCCAGAGAGGUGGUGGCUGAACCAUCCCUGGAGACAUCCCAGGCCAGGCUGGACGGGGCUCUGAGCAACCUGAGCUGGUGAAGAUGUCCCUGCCCAUGGCAGGGGGGCACUGGGGUAGCUGUGAAGGUCCCUUCAACACAAACCAUUCCGUAAUUCUAUGAUUCUAUGCCUCAAGACUUUUCGUGGUCCCUGGCCAAGCAACAGCACAGGCAUCCCUCGGAUGCAGGAGGGUUUGGGAUGCACCUUUCCAAGGCUGUGCUGGUAUCACAGCCACACAACCAUCACCCACAGCUGCACAGGAGGCCACAAAACUAUGGGGACUUUAGAAGUCAUAUCAGCUGGUACCUGCAAACCCUCACAGCUGGUUUCUUAAAAAAGCUAUUAAAGAUGCAGCAAGUUUUCUUCACGCUCCCUGCAUCUGACAUGGUUUCAGUCUUGUCUGGGUUCAGGCGAAGCGAGCCCGUCUGUCUUCAGUCCCCUGUUUCACUCAGGCAGUAAAUAAUUCAUCGUGAACUUCGGAUGUCCUUGUCUCUAGCAGAAGUGGAACAGUUUAGAGUUGGGUAGAAAGGGCAACUUUUUAUUUUAUAGGAAAGCAUGGCAAAUCUCAGAGCAGCCUGCACUCCAAACAGCCCCUUGGAGGUGGAGAUGGUCCCACCAGCUUGGUGCAAAUCAGAGCGGUGACACCGGUGACAGCGCUUGUGCUGCUCGUGACCCUGCACACACCCCGGGACCAGGUGGGACCUGCACACAGACACCCCAUUUUACACGAUCUGAGAUUAGAAAACGUGUUUUAUAACGCAAGGUCUGGAAAAGGUGUUUCCAGCGACCGUCCAGCUCCGGCUCUUGCAGAUCCUCCCCCUCCUCCUGCCUUGCUGGGAGACAAAUGUUAUUAAUCAGCCCUGUAAAUUGAAAUCCAUAUUUUUCUCAUGAGUUCUGAAACCCAUUUAAAGCCUCUAAACAGCUUCUAUCAGCUGAAAUAAAUGAAAUCAGUUUUAUUCCUCUUGCCUAA